UUUAACCGUAACCAUAAGUUUCCGUAUUGAAGUUUGAUCAUCCGUAUUAUUUAAACUCUUCUAUAUUUAAUAUUUUUAUUGUUAUUAUAUGAUAAAACAUAAACAAUAUUUUAUACACGACUUAUGUUUUUUAUUUUUUAAAAAAAAUUAAAUAAGAUGCUGAUUAAAGUUAGACACGGAACUCACGCUGCGUUGCGUUUAAA
rnacentral:pre_miRNA from 1 species